UACGGAGUGUGCAAGCGUUACUCGGAAUCACUGGGCAUAAAGCGCGCGUAGGCGGGUUUUCAAGUCGGUUGUGAAAUCCCUCAGCUCAACUGAGGAACUGCAUCCGAUACUGUUUGUCUUGAGGACGAGAGGGGAGAGUGGAACUUCUGGUGGAGCGGUGAAAUGCGUAGAUAUCAGAAGGAACGCCGGUGGCGAAAGCGGGACUCUGGGCCGAUAUUGACGCUGAGGAGCGAAAGCGUGGGGAGCGAACAGG
rnacentral:rRNA from 1 species